AAUUUACUCGAGGAAGAUGAGAUGGUCCUCACUGCCUUUCUUUUACUAUUUUUUGUCUAUGCUCACUGCAGAAAAAAAGCAUCGGAGUUUCGCCUCUUGGUUUUCUAUACUCUUUGCUGCAGAACACAAGUGGAACUACUCCCACUUUAUUAACUUCCACCGGAUAAUCCUGCAUACAUGUUUUUUUUCUCUUCCUCUUUUCCCUCUUUCCCGUUAAUGCUUCACACUCCAGUCCAGUUGGUGGAGGAAGUACACCACAAGUUGGCUUGUCAACCCCCAUUAAAUCGUACAAGAAGAAAAAGAAGAACCUGCAUCCAUAUUUGUAAAGUUGCAACCCGUUGUGGCCUACGUUUAAUCUUAUCAAUAUGCACAGAACAGUGUUGCGGCAUGAGAAGAUUGCCCUUCAGAGAUGCCAAAGCUGUUGCUCUAAUUACCAUUGCCCCUUCUGCGGACCAAAAGUGUUCAAACCCUCCAUGAAUCAUCAUGUGGUGCAGAAUCAUGUCUGCAACCACUUAUCUUUGGCAGUACAGCAUGAAGAAUUCCUGAUUGUCAAGUGCAACUUGCAGUGUAGAGAACAGGCACAUUUUCACUGUUGUUAUUGCCCAAACACAGUUAUAAGGAAAGUCCAGAUUGUAAAACAUUUAGCAUCAUGCAAAAAAAGACAAGUUCCACCUACAGAACCAGCCACUGUUGAGCCAGCAAUCAGUGAACCAAUUGUUACCUGUGAACCCGUUGUCCCCAGUGCAUCAGUUGCCAACAGUGAACCAAUUGUUCCCAGUGCACCAGUUGCCUUUAAAGAAUCAGCUGUGGCUGAAGGUGUCCACUUGCCUGUUAAAUCCCUGCUCGUUCCCAAAAAAUUGCGUAUUCAGAAAAAAGUGCAGUGCGGUCAGUGUGGAAUAACUGUCAACAAGAAAAAUCUAGAUGUUCAUGUUAAAAGAAAACACACUGGUAAGAUCUGUGAUGUUACAGAAGAUCGUCACCUACCUUCACAGUGCAUCGACCCAGUGAGUGGUAUAUAUGCGGUUGAAAAGUCAUUUCGCAGACCAUGUUCUGUAAUCCACGUACAGAAAAAAAACUCGGGUCCACAUCCAGUUGUCACAUGUGAAUUGGAUCAAUGCAUUUCCAGUGUAGACUUUGCCGCUCAAAGUGGCUUCCAGCACUUUGAGUGUAUACAUUUGAAGUCACUGCAGUUAUGUCCAUGGCCCAACAGUAUACCAGUUGUCCUUGAUGAAGAUGUCCUGGCAGACAUAAUAGCUCCAAAUGAGUUUGGGGAACAGACCAAGACAAACUGUGUGGCUACUAAGGCAGCAGCAAGUGCGGCUGGUGUUCCACUGUCUGUUGAGUUGACCAUUGGAGGUCCUUCUACAAAGAAGUAUAUUUCUGUGUAUGAACCCAAAGUGUCAUACUACAGCAGACUUGGUAGAGUCAUUGCCUCCUAUGACAGCACUCGCAACACAUGGCAUUGUCCCUGUGCAAAGCCAAGAAGAUCUUGUUUGCACAAAAACAUAGCCAGGUGGCAUCUUUUUCAGCUACACAGGCAGUUGUUUGUAUCAUCAUUUGUCGACAGACCUGAACAGUGCCUAACACAAGAACAUGCUAGUUGAGGUGGUCCUCAAUGCAGAACUCAAGAUCCAGGGGCGUGGUUGAAUCCAGAUCCAAUUCCUCCCUCCUUAGAUACACCUAAACCUACCCUUAUCCAUCCCCUGAUCCCUAAACCCACCAAACUCCACCAUCUCCACCCCCUAGAUAUGGAUCCAACCACACCCCCUGGAUCUUGAGUUCUGUAGUGAGGGGCUACUGGGCUUGUCAGGGAAGUACCAGAUUGAAAUAUCCCCCUAGUGGUGAAGUUCUCAAACAGUUGGUGUAUUACCUGAUGAAAAACAAAACUCCCCCAGAAAUACAUCAUAGGCUCAGUGACAUUCCCAAACACCUUGUGCCAAAGGAGACUGUUUGCUCUGAAUGUCCGGGCAAUGUGGACCUAAGCCAGUGUUGAUUACUUCUAAAGGAAAACUUAUAACAUACACUGGCAUUGUUGAGGGAUUUUCUACAUACUACCGCAUGUGCAGCAACUGUGGUCUAAAAUACCUUUAUCAAAAGUGGACUGAUGGUCUUCGCAAUUUUGAUGGUCAUUUGCUGAUGUCAUUACACAUGCAUUAUCCUGCACCAUUCACUCCAGACUCAUCAUGCCAUCAGCAGAGCUGUCGAGGUUUUGGAGACCACAACACAACAGAAAUUUCCAAGUAAAGACUAAAUCCUUCAUGCAUGCAUGCAUUUUAAAAGCACUGACAGACCACAAAUACACAUACUCCUGUGUCAAGUGCGGCUACCAUCCAGCAUUUGUUGUGAUGGAUCUUCACAAAAAGGUGACUUUUAAUAUGUCUGGUAGGUCAUAACAAAAUUAGAGCUACUUAAUAAUAAAAAUACAUGUUCUUUGUUUCAUUGAGAAUUUUUAUUACAGUGAGUGACAUUCCUGCAAUAGUAUGAUGGUUGAGUCAAUAUAAACGACUUUUGGGCAUCCCUGACUGCCAAAAUAGCCUGUUGGGCAGUAAGGAGUUAUUUUAUGUUUAUGCGUCAAGCAUAGCUACAAUAACUGCAUUACACUAAAUUGAGCAAAGGAAGGUACUACCCAAAUGUGUAUCUAUUUUGAAGGUUUCACUAUUUUACUUAUUGAUAAAGUAAAUUUUUUUCAGGUGCUCGUCAAAAUAUUUUUUUUGUCACCAUCAUACAACUACUGGGCUCCUUGGAUAGGUCCCAACACCAGAAAAGAUACAGUUUUAAAUACUGAGUAUGCCCCAAUUAAUGCCCCAAGACCAGCUACUGAAGAUGCCAAACUUGGUUACCGAACAGAGGCUAGAAGAAGUGCUUACCAAUCUUAAGGUUAUUUUGUUGUUUUGCUUUUAGCAGAAUGUGUCCCUUUAAGACCUUAUUUGGGAUGACUAAAAGAGCCCACUACUGAAAAUAACAAGCUGGCUGUUGAGCUGAAAGUAAAUCUCCUUUGGCUGAAGGGAAAGAAGGACAAUGUGGACCCAGACUGUCACUCAGUUACAGGUUCAGCUGAACAUUAUGCACUUUUUCGAUCUGUUUCAUGAAAUGAACACAAAAGAUGCUCGAGAUGCAGAUAAAAGUGGCCAAAUUAUAAUGGGUAACUCGGUUCAUUUUCAACUACAAUUUCUUUCUAUAUCUUUAUGCCUGUUAUGCCAUGUUGGUUAUAUUACAUUAUAUUACAGAAGCCACAGCCUCAGAUGGUGCAUCUGCAUCCUUGGCUAGGCUGAUGUGUGCUAAAAGAGAAAAGACUUACGGCACUGGGAAUGCCCAAAGACUUUGGUAAAUGCACUUUUGACAGUAUUCAGUGGACCUGUUGAUUGUCAUGAUUUCUCAACACUUGUUUGUGCUCCGCAAUGUGGAAUAUACAAGACCAAUGCACUGGUCUAUUUGCAUUUGAUUGAUUUACAUAUAUUCACAUGUUAUGAAGCCCAUGUUCAGGUUUUCUUCUAAUAUUUAGGGACUGUUUUUUUCCGAGUUUAGUACUAGGUUUGGGACUGUUAUUUGUCCCCUGUUCUGUGCAAGGUUUGAGACUGUGCUUUUGUCGUCCGCUGUUAAGUGCAAAGUUUUGGCAGUAUUAACUGCUUUGUGUACUUUUUAAUGUUUGCUGAUGUGAUGGUCCUUGCUUAAAAGAUCCAACACUAUCUCUAUCGUAAAAACUGAGACUGAUUUAUUCAGAAAUGUGGCCAUUCUUACAUUCCAUUUUGAAAUUCCUCCUUCUACACCCAAAUCUGUUGAAAUUCAGUAGUUAGCACUAGGAAGGUUAUAUAAAGAUUGGGUUUAGGCCUUGUCAACCAAUGAAAGAAUGGCAUGUAGGAGUUGAAUCAGGAUGUAUGUGGAAGUAAAGACCAUCUCUGAGCUUUUUUCUUUUCUUUUUUUUUUUUAUUAGUGUGUUUGCUUUCUGCUUGUGUAUGCUUUCCCUCUGCAACAGUAGACAACACAGUACAUGUCAAACUUGCUGCUGCAGCCCAGUUAGCGGGUUGUCAGAAUCAGACCUAUAGAGGUGGAUGGUACGUUUAAAAUGGUUUUCAACUUUUAAGAAGUUUUAACUGUGUAUCUGUUCUCUUUUGGAGCAUGAUCACAAAAAAGCUCGUUAAAAACAAGGUACAUAACACUCAGCAUUCAACACUGCUUUUUGACAACUGUAAUCAAUACAAAAUUUAUAUAGUACGUUUUGGAUUUUUGCCAGGAUAUUCCAUUGCAGAGAGACAGCUUGGACUGUGGAGUGUUCAUGCUAAUGUGGGAGGAGCUACAACUCCGCCUCCUGGUUCUUGUGUUCUGCAGUGAGGGACUACUGGGGACCAUAGACAGUAAAAGGAACGUGUUAUUAUACGUCAUCAAAUAUGUCAGCCUCCUGGUGAUAGCAGCUGAAUUUGAUCAUCGAUCGAGGGAAUUAAAAUGGUUCAUUCAGAAGAGUGCGACAUAAUAUUUCGAUUGAAAGGAAUCUUGGAGUUUGCUUGCCAGCUUGACAAUCCAAAUGAUGCACAAAGUCAAGGCACAAUAUCAAAAGGUUUCCAGGGUCUCCAAUCCAAAGUAUCAUCCAAAAAUAUUGUUUUAACUGUCUGUAACAGUCCAGUAUUAAUAUGGCCUAACGCUGGUUUCCAGUCAAACGUGGAAAGCUUGACAGAAGCAUCAUCAUGUGGAGAUAUUCUGCAGUAUAUAAAGUCAGAUGAUGGUGGGAGCAAGAAGUCAUCAAAAAAGAAAGAUAAGAAAAAAUCUGGACCUACUGUAGUGAAUAUGAAGCUGUUGUUUGAGGUCACAGAACCUGCUGGGAAUGAAGCUCCUAGUCUCAUCCGAGUGAGCACACAGCAGCACUGUGUGAAGAUGCCACUGCCUUUAGACUGUGUUCUGUCUGUGACCACUGAUGAGAGCCUGGCAACUGUGUGUACAGGGCUGGUGAAGGCAUUAAAUAAGCAGUUAGCAGACAUGGAAGAGGUGGUGCUAUGAUACAGGAAGGGCUCCUCUUUCCUGGUGCCACAGCCAUUUCACUUUCAACUGCCUGAACCAGCUGGGUUCACUACUGUAAUCUACCCUGCAGGAGUGCCAGACAGCCAGCUACAGGCCGCCAGAG